CCUACGGGGGGCUGCAGUGGGGAAUAUUGGACAAUGGGCGAAAGCCUGAUCCAGCCAUGCCGCGUGUGUGAAGAAGGCCUUCGGGUUGUAAAGCACUUUCAGUGGGGAAGAAAGCCUUGGGGCUAAUACCCUCGAGGAAGGACAUCACCCACAGAAGAAGCACCGGCUAACUCCGUGCCAGCAGCCGCGGUAAUACGGAGGGUGCGAGCGUUAAUCGGAAUUACUGGGCGUAAAGCGCGCGUAGGCGGUCUGAUAAGCCGGUUGUGAAAGCCCCGGGCUCAACCUGGGAACGGCAUCCGGAACUGGCAGGCUAGAGUGCAGGAGAGGAAGAUAGAAUUCCCGGUGUAGCGGUGAAAUGCGUAGAGAUCGGGAGGAAUACCAGUGGCGAAGGCGGCCUUCUGGACUGACACUGACGCUGAGGUGCGAAAGCGUGGGUAGCAAACAGGAUUAGAUACCCUAGUAGUC
rnacentral:rRNA from 1 species